ACUACUGAAUCUUUUGAUGGGACCAGAGGCAACGGGCACAAAGGGAAACACAGGAGGCUCUGUCUGAAUGUCAGGAAACACUUUUUUACUGUGAGGGUGACUGAUCACUGGCACAGGUUGUCCAGAGAGGAUGUGGAAUCUCCCACCUUGGAGAUAUUCAG